AUUGAACGCUGGCGGCAGGCCUAACACAUGCAAGUCGAACGCGUGGCGGACGUGUGCGUAAUGUCUGGGCAACUCCCUGAUUUAGGGGGAUAACUACUGGAAACGAUCGCUAAUACCGCAUACCAUCGGAUGUCCCCAGAUGGGAUUAGCUAGUAGGUGGGGUAACGGCUCACCUUGGCGACGAGCCCUAGCUGGUCUGAGAGGAUGACCAGCCACACUGGAACUGAGACACGGUCCAGACUCCUACGGGAGGCAGCAGUGGGGAAUAUUGCACAAUGGGCGCAAGCCUGAUGCAGCCAUGCCGCGUGUAGGAAGAAGGCCUUCGGGUUGUAAAGUACUUUCAGCGGGGAGGCGUUACCCGCAGAAGAAGCACCGGAUAACAAGGGGCCAGCAGCCGCGGUAAUUC
rnacentral:rRNA from 1 species